GCUAUGGUCAUUGGUCACAGCGCGAGGGUCACAGGUGUCGCUGAUUAGCGCGCGCAGGUCACAGGUGUAGCUGAUUAGCCUCACUCUGAGCCUCGUCUUUACGAGUUCAGGAUGCCAUGAACCCCAGAGGAGGAGGAGGAGGAGGUGUUAGCAGAGAAGGCGUUUGCUGAAGCUCCUCACACGGCCAGAAGCUGAGAGACAUUUUCCUCCGAGGACCUUUCGUGCUUAUGAAAAUGAGCUUCAGCCAAUGAAAUCAGCCUCUGGUGCUGCUGUGAUCAUGAGGAGAAAGACCUGAGGCUCCUGUAGAUGUUGGAUUAUUAAACAAACUGACAUUACAUGAGGAUUUCAGCUGCAUCAGAGCAGGUCACUCAGG
rnacentral:lncRNA from 1 species